rnacentral:lncRNA from 1 species
CCCCACGCCCUGGGACUCACGUCCUGCCUCCCUCCCUGUGUCACGGGUUCAAUUCCUCAUGAUGACAUGUCCAGAAAAGCUUGGCCAAUACCUGUGACUUACCAUCUAAAACAUUCUUUGUUUAACUUAAUUAAUGAGCCUUGAAUGCAUUCGUUGCCGCCCUUGAGCAAAUAUUUAUUGCACUAUGAUGCUGAGCAGACGCUGUAAUCCCACAGUUGGAGUCAAACCCAGGGCCCGCCCCAAGGAAAAUCGCACAAGUCAGACGCCUGGUGGCUACAGUCCUGGAGUGCUGGAGACCAGCUCUGGACAGCUUCCACGAGGCGGAAAACAUCAGAAUGCCCUUGGCCCUUGUGGUCCCGAGGCUCCAUGACGUGCUCGCCAUCCUCCUUUCCUGUUGAUAAACAGGCCGCUGCCUGCGGGCCCAGGACCAGGUGUGAGACACAUGGAGGGGUGGAUGGAGGUCAGACUGUUGGGGGCAAAGGCUCCUGCUUCCCCGAGCUGACCCCGCCUCUGCCAGGAGAAAGAGACUCAGAUUUCAGAGCUCUGCUGUGGGUCUGGCACUUUGUUUACGUGAGGUCAUUUGGUCCUCGUAACCAGGUCCCACGCCUCCCCCUCUCCACAUUUGACAUAUGAGAAUGCUUAAAAGUUCAUGUUUACCUUGUGUGGACUUGCUCAAAGUCACAUGGCUAGGAGGUGGCAGAGCUGGGAUGGGAACCAAAUCUUGUUCCUUUUAUCGGGCCAUGAAGAAAUCACCAUUUUUCUGGGUCUUAAAUUCCCUUUUCAAAACACUGCACAGAGGGGCUGUCCCUCAGAUCUUCCAGGAAAGGCCAUGCCGGCCGUAGGGGCAGCCCUCAACACCACGUCUGGGCACCUCGUUGCUGGGCCUUCAUCCCCGGGGGCUGUGGGAGCACGGGGGCGGGGCUGUGUGAUCUGCGGAGGGUGGGGUCUCCUGGAGCUUCCAUGAGGCAAUAGUAGCAUUUGAGCUGCUCAGGAAAGACCCAACUGGGUGGCGCCAUCUUGAGCACCUGGAGAGGGUGUGGCGCCAGUUUCCAAGGCAGCAUGGUGAGACCCCCUCUUGCCCACGCCCCAGAGGGGCAUUCUUCACGGAGCCUGCACUGACCAUUCUCUGGGGGGCGUUGAAAACAGUCAGAAAGACCACCCUGCCUCCUUCUGGACACGCUGCUAGAGACCGAUUACUCGAUGUUCAAUUUUCCACAUGCUUUUCCGUUUUUUGAACUCAGUUCCUACAUCCUGAUCCCACAUCAUGUGCCCACACUCCCAGGUGGCAGAACCCAGAUUUCUUCAGUUGCCUGUUUCAAAGUUGCCCACCAAGCAGAACCUCAUCUUUCUCGAAUCUGCCCUCAGAUGACAGAAUCCUUUAACCAUCCCAACUCCUGAGCCACCUGUUUGGGUGUCAGAGUGAAACAAAUACCAGCUUUCUGUGCCAUCACAGUCUCAUGGGGAAGCCUGGGGAGAGCACACUUUGACAGGCACAGUCUCCAUCUGGUGACCAGGGCUUCUUAUUCAUGGUGAAAAAAAUUAAUACUCAUUCGUUCAGCAAAUAUUGAGCCCCUACUGUGUGCUUCGCUCUUCCCCAGCACAGGGGAUGCAGCAGUGAACAGAACAGUCCCUGCACUGGCGGGGGUGAUGUUCCCUGAGGGGAGAGGGACCGUCAGCCAAUAAAUAAAGGGACAUAAUGGCAGGUAGAAUAAAGUGUGACAAUCGCCUACCGUGAGCGUCUUAGAUGCU